rnacentral:rRNA from 1 species
GAUGAACGCUAGCGACAGGCUUUAACACAUGCAAGUCGAGGGGCAGCGGGGUGUAGCAAUACAUCGCCGGCGACCGGCGCACGGGUGAGUAACGCGUAUGCAACUUGCCUAUCAGAGGGGGAUAACCCGUCGAAAGACGGACUAAUACCGCAUGAAACAGGGAUCCCGCACGGGGAUAUUUGUUAAAGAUUACAUCGCUGAUAGAUAGGCAUGCGUUCCAUUAGGUAGUUGGUGGGGCAACGGCCCACCAAGCCGACGAUGGAUAGGGGUUCUGAGAGGAAGGUCCCCCACACUGGUACUGAGACACGGACCAGACUCCUACGGGAGGCAGCAGUGAGGAAUAUUGGUCAAUGGGCGAGAGCCUGAACCAGCCAAGUCGCGUGAGGGACGAAAGGCCCUACGGGUUGUAAACCUCUUUUAUAAGGGAAUAAAGGACAUCACGUGUGAUGUUUUGCAUGUACCUUAUGAAUAAGCAAUCGGCUAACUCCGUGCCAGCAGCCGC